rnacentral:lncRNA from 10 species
GUCGCGUCUGCGAAGCUAGAGCUGUUGGCAGCCUGUCCCCAGUGGCGCGUCCGCCCCCCUACCGCCCUCACUGCCCGCACCUGCGAGGACGCAGGCUGCUGGAUGGUGCAGUCAUCGCCCCGAGUUUCAUCAUCCAAGGCCACACGGUGCCUGCGGCUGCCCACCAGAGCUGGCAGGAAGGCGGGUGAGGAGUCUGGGACUUGGCCACGCCGCCCUGACUACCGAACGCCAGCUUCCUUCUCAGCAAAACGGGGAUCUGCCCACGGCCUCUGAGGGUUGUUGUGAGACUUCAAGGACCAUCUGCCAAGUGGUCUUCAGUAAAAUGUUGAAUGGAUGUUGAAGUAGAUUCUGUACGGUCCAUGCUCUCCAGAUAUCUGCAGUCCAGCAGGAGCUGAGUGGCGUAGCACUGCCUACACUUCUGCCCGACUUCUAGUCACUUGCUCUUCUGAGGAAGCUUGAAGAUGUUACAGCCUCCCCUUCCAACUCAACUGACUCCUCGAGUCACAGCCCCUGCCUGUAUUCAUUGAGCCUCUGUUUCCUCACCUGCCAGUGAGAGUGACCACAGUACCUGCCUCAAAGUGUUGCUGAGAAAAUUAGAGAUGAUAUUUUAACUUUUUAUUUUUCUUAUGGAUGUUUGGGUAGAUUAGGAAGUCUGAAAGCAUCAACACUCUAUUGUUGUGUGUGUGUGUUUGUGUGUGUGUUUUGAGAUGGGGUCUCCCUCUAUCAUCCAGGCUAAAGUGCAGUGGCAUGAUCAUCUUACUAGAUCCUCAAACUCCUGGACUCAAGCCAUUAACCCUCCUCAGCCUCCCAAGUAGCUGGGUCUACAGCUGCAUGACACCAUGCCUGACUGUUGUUAAUGGUGGUUAUCUUUGAGUGGUGGGAUUAUUGGUAACUAAUUUUUCUUUUUGUUUAAUGUACUUUCAACGUUUUAAGAAAUUUUUAAAAUAAUAAAUAAAUUUUAAAAAAGAAACCUAGAAUGGUCAUAUGAUCUAGCAAUUCCAUUUCUGGGUAUAUCACGAAAGAAUUGAAAGCUGAGACUUGAACAGAUAAUUAUAAACUAAUGCUCAUUAUGGCAUUAUGGCAACUGCUAAAAGGUGGAAACAACCCAAAUGUCCAUUGACAGAUGAAUGGGUGAACAAAAUGUGGUAUAUAUACACAAGAAAUAUUAGUCAGGCCUGAUGUGGU